AGGAAUUUUUAUUUUUUUAAUUUAUUUAUUAUUUAUUUUUUAUUUUUUAUUUUUUUUUAGGAAUUUUUAAAAUAACAUGUUUUUCUAUAAAAUCUUAUGAAGAAUUCUCCACUGCAAUAUUUGAGGUGAUUGACAGAAGGAAAAACAAAUGAAAGAAAAUAAGUUUGCUGACAAAAAGAGGAAUUAGCUUCUACCAAACCUGCUGCAGCGACAUUUCCCCAGCCCACACAUGAUGUACUUUCUUAUCUAUUUGCCAGAAACUCAAGAUCAGAGCUAUUAAGAGCAAAUGUGUUAGUUCAUGCAUGUAAGAAGAGAUGCCAAGAUGGAAUUCAAUAGAAGAUUUAAUAGGGGAGAGACGGGAAAAUGCUGGAGAGCCUGCAGAUUCUGAUGUGGAUCUUACUCCUGUGUGAGGAGAGGGAGGAAUAAGAAGUAGAUUUCAAGAGUCUAUAAGCUCUUGAUGGGUGAGCUUGGUGGGAGCGCAGCUGAGUUGGUGGGAGAUCCUGAAUCUAAGUCUCCUGAUGGAGGAGUUCCAACUGUCACCGUAAUGGGCCUGCCUUAGUGCCGCGCAGAGUUCCAUUACUGGCUGAGAGCUACCAGAGAUGAGAAGGGCCUUGACACGACCAUGGUCGCCCAUCCAAAAGGGCAGGAGGUAGGAUCUUCCAUCAACUGUGCCUUCUACAGUUGGAAAUAUUAGCUGUGUAUUUUCAUGGCCAGCACACAUGGUUUUGGCAACACAGAUCCUAAGGAUAUCCAUGUGUUUUGGUAGUGGGAAAGCUCCAGAUUGUAAAUGAAUGAACAGACAAGCAGAUUACUUAUAUCUUGUUCAAUGUCCACUUACAUGUUGAACUCCCCUGUCACAUUCACAGAUAAAAAAGAGAGAGAAUGGCGGUGAGGAGCAGAAGAAGAAGGAGAGACCCAGGCACCCUGUUUUGAGGAUAAUAUUAAUGAAUUUUAGAACUUGAUUAAAAGUUGAGCUGAUUAUAGACUCACUGGCUGUCCCAGUCUGCAGAGUAUGUGACUUAAUUUUUGGGUUAUAAGUUUGAGUCCCACGUUGAGAU
ensembl:lncRNA